AUACGGAGGAUCCGAGCGUUAUCCGGAUUUAUUGGGUUUAAAGGGUGCGCAGGCGGGAGAUUAAGUCGGCGGUGAAAUUUUGCAGCUCAACUGUAAAAGUGCCUUCGAAACUGGGUUCCUUGAGUGUAGGUGAAGUAGGCGGAAUUUGUGGGGUAGGGGUUAAAUGCAUAGAUAUCACGAGGAACUCCGAUUGCGCAGGCAGCUUACUAAACUACUACUGACGCUCAGGCACGAAGGCGUGGGGAUCAAACAGGAUUAGAUACCCUGGUAGUCCACGCAGUAAACGAUGAUUACUAGCUGUUUGCGAUACAAUGUAAGCGGCUGAGCGAAAGCGUUAAGUAAUCCACCUGGGGAGUACGUUCGCAAGAAUGAAACUCAAAGGAAUUGACGGGG
rnacentral:rRNA from 1 species